rnacentral:rRNA from 1 species
AGAGUUUGAUCAUGGCUCAGAUUGAACGCUGGCGGCAGGCUUAACACAUGCAAGUCGAGCGGGGAAGAGUAGCUUGCUACUUGACCUAGCGGCGGACGGGUGAGUAAUGCUUAGGAAUCUGCCUAUUAGUGGGGGACAACAUCUCGAAAGGGAUGCUAAUACCGCAUACGUCCUACGGGAGAAAGCAGGGGACCUUCGGGCCUUGCGCUAAUAGAUGAGCCCAAGUCGGAUUAGCUAGUUGGUGGGGUAAAGGCCUACC